UGUCUGUAAUUUUCUGUUUUGAGAUGGGGUCUCUUCUGUUGCCCAAACUGGUCUUGAGCUCCUAGCUCGAGGGAUCAUCAUAGUUCAGCUUCCCAAGGAACUGGGAGUGUGGAUGUGCACCACUGUGCCUGGCUUCAUCGGUAAUUGUGAAAGAGCCUUUUCAUCUCAUCUUUUUGAAAUUGUGUCCUAAGAACUAGUGCUUUCCACCUAAGAGUAUUUAAUGGAAAGGUCAUACUGUCUGAAGGAUACUUUCUACCUAAGGGAGAGUGGUAUUUGCAGACUAAAUCUGGGUGCUGCUGGGGUUAAAUGGAUGGGAAGUACUUCUCCUCUGCAAUUCCUACCUCCAGUCAACCAACUAUAACCAGGUUCCUUGUCUCCUCUCCUAAAUAUAACUGAUUAAGACAGUAAUAAGUAUAGUAUUUAACUAUUAAUACAGAAAGUUUCCUACUAAGCAAAGUGAGAGAAGGGAACUUGUUCUAUUUUGGCACUUAAUCACCACUGUUUAAGCAUUCCCCAGUAUAUAAAACUAUAUUUCUUCACAAUCCCAGAACUACAUGAGGAAAGGAGUAAGACCCCUUGUCUGAAUGUCCAUCCUUCUCACCCACAAUGUAUGUUAGAUUCCAACAUCAAAUGUAUAAAACCUGUCUUAAGUUGGUCCUGUUCACUCAGCCUUCCUGUACUUCUUUUAACUGAUGAAAGAUUAUUUUCAAGGCCCUCCUUAGCAUAUUUGUAUAGUUGCUUACCUGAUAUAAAUGCAAUAUUAAUGCCUUUAAAAGUACAAAUCUAUGUCAAAGAUCAAUUUUUGUUUUACUAAAGAUUACUUAGAGGAAAUAAGAAGAGUCAUAUUUACUUUCCAAGUUCUUCCAGUGUUUUGAGACACUGGUUUACACUUUAUGUCAGAUGUACUUUUCUGUAAUAUCAAUGUUCAAGACACAGUGAAGCAAAAAAUUAAAUAAAAUAAAAAUAAAGUAAAAAUUUUCAAAAAAUCCCUGAAUGAUUCAAGAUUUUACCACUAAAACCAAAAUUUAUAAGCUAGGAUUUGUUAUAUGCAAAUAGUUCCUGCCUCUUUUGUUCU
rnacentral:lncRNA from 1 species